rnacentral:rRNA from 1 species
CUAACACAUGCAAGUCGAACGGUAACAUUGAUGCUUGCAUCAGAUGACGAUUGGCGCACGGGUGAGUAACGCGUAUACAAUCUGCCUUUUACAGGGGGAUAGCCUUUAGAAAUGAAGAUUAAUUUCCCAUAGUAAGUUGUUAUUGCAUGAUAGUAACUUUAAAGUUUCGGCGGUAAAAGAUGAGUAUGCGUUCUAUUAGCUAGAUGGUGUGGUAACGGCACACCAUGGCGACGAUAGAUAGGGGCCCUGAGAGGGGGAUCCCCCACACUGGUACUGAGACACGGACCAGACUCCUACGGGAGGCAGCAGUGAGGAAUAUUGGACAAUGGGCGAGAGCCUGAUCCAGCCAUGCCGCGUGCAGGAAGACUGCCCUAUGGGUUGUAAACUGCUUUUAUACAGGAAGAAACCUUUUCACGUGUGAAAAGCUGACGGUACUGUAAGAAUAAGGAUCGGCUAACUCCGUGCCAGCAGCCGCGGUAAUAC